rnacentral:lncRNA from 1 species
GCGUAAUACCUACGUCCUGCGUCUGGUUGUAUUGAUUUGUGCUGAGAGAAUAUGAUGUCCUAGGGGGGUCCCUUGCCCCUCCUUAUAUAGUCUGGAGGGCAGGGUUACAGAUCUAGAAACUAAUCCUAGUCGGUUACAAUUGCCAUAGAUAAUUCGAUAUCAACUCCUAUUCUAACCGACUAGAAUUCUGCUUGAUCUCCACGUCUUGUUUCCUUGCGCGAAACUCCGGGCUGUCUGAUCAAGCCUUGAACUCGUCUCGUAGUGGGUCAAGUUUCCUGGCUGAAGUCUAGCCGUAAGGGUAUAGGGGUUUAUACCCCCACAAGCAUUGAGUGUGGUCAAGCUGUGUAGACCCUUAGGAGCUUGUCAUGUGGUUAAAUCAAGAUUCACUUGCACGUUCACUCACACAUGCUACUUCUACUCCGGAAGUACCAUCCACAUAUAUCCACCCAUUUCCAUCCCCAGAACCACCCAAAAAUAUUCUACUCCUAAUCCAGGAGAGAAUAGCCAAAAACAUUUCUGUUUUCCCCUGUGAAAUAAAAGCUCAAGUUAUCUUGGUUACUACCACUUGCUAUAUUAUAUCAGGAGAUGAGUGCUCUAAAAAAAAAGAAGAAAAAAAAAUAUAAAUACGAGGAAAUAAAAAGGGGCAAGUGCCCGGAACCUCGAAAGAAAAGAAAAAAAAAGCGAGACGAGAGGUAAAAAUGGACAAGUGUCCGACAGUAGAAUUAGUGUCUAAGUCGUUAAAGGAUAUGAUAUGGGAAGGUUGAGCUGCUGUUUAUCUGUUCCUAGAGAUGCUAGAAAUCUAGAGAAUUUUAUCUUUGAAAAUCUUUAAAAUGUUGCAUGAUGAGUUCCUGUAUGAUGAGAGUUUAAAUUCCUACCACAGCCAUAUAUACAAGCUUGCUAGACUUUGAGCCACACAUUUACUUUUUACUGCUUAUGAGCAUUGAGUGUGGUCAAGCUGUGUAGACCCUUAGGAGCUUGUCAUGUGGUUAAAUCAAGAUUCACUUGCACGUUCACUCACACAUGCUACUUCUACUCCGGAAGUACCAUCCACAUAUAUCCACCCAUUUCCAUCCCUAGAACCACCCAAAAAUAUUCUACUCCUAAUCCAGGAGAGAAUAGCCAAAAACAUUUCUGUUUUCCCCUGUGAAAUAAAUGCUCAAGUUAUCUUGGUUACUACCACUUGCUAUAUUAUUUCAGGAGAUGAGUGCUCUAAAAAAAAGAAGAAAAAAAAAGAAAAAUAUAUAAAUACGAGGAAAUAAAAUGGGGCAAGUGCCCGGAACCUCGAAAGAAAAGAAAAAAAAGUGAGACGAGAGGUAAAAAUGGACAAGUGUCCGACAGUAGAAUUAGGGGUACAAGAUACCCACCUGAGAGGAAAGAAAAAGAAAAUACAGAGCAUCUCAUUCUCCCAAAAAGUUUCAAAAGAGCAAGGAAGGUAUGUAUCCCCUCAAAAGAGCAAAAGUAGAAUUAGACUUUCACCAUUGUUAUCACCAUCAUCACCAUACACCAUUCAUUCGCCACAGAUGCACAUCUUGAUUUGACUUAUUGAUUUGUUUCUUUGGAUCCAUGGUUUGACUAUGCAAUAAAUGUCUUGUAAGUAUGUAUUAGCUGUCUCCCACCUAUGAGCUCCAGAUAUCAAAACCUUAUAAGAGUAGGGUGAGAGAGAAGGCAAUGCCACUAUGCCUUAUACCACAAAUACCACAUACUUUGAGAGAAGGCAUAUACCAAUACUGCCUUGUUAAGGAUCGAGAAAUACCACAAAAGAGAGACUAGAGAGAGUCAUACAAGGAAUCUCUGAGUUUUAUUUGAAAAUCUGCAAAAACUCCAGAGCCAUAGUUAAUCGAAGAACAAGAGACAUGGUGCUUGACUAGACUGUUCUAUCUUUUAACUACUCAAGACAGAAGUGACGAUUACAAGUCCCAUGGUGAAAGGUAAAUGAGUAAGUUUUAAGUCUUAACAUUUUACUCUAACCAGAGAUGAGAUCUUGUUUAAACGCAUGUGUAUCUUUAAGUUAUGAAAACACUGCAGAAACUCUUGAGUCCAUCUUUGCUCAGGGACGAGCAAAGGUUAAGCUUGGGGGAGCUUGUUGACGGUCCUUAAUGCUCACAUUUAACCAUCAACUAAUCAUGGAAAAUGAUCUAAAUGGAACCAACACUUAGACUUAGGGUUUUAUCUGACAGAAUUCCACGAGUUUUGGUGUUUGUCUAUUUCUGCAGGGGGUUAUCAGGAAAUAAGGAAGAAAGGCCCACACGUCGGGUUUACAUAGAGAUAUUAAUGUGCCGUGCAAUUUUCUACCAUCUAGAAGACUCCAGAAGCCACGGGAACGAACGGGAGACGUAAUGGAGCCGGGCACUGGGCACCCGCCCUCCCUUACUGGGCGCCCGCCCUCCCCCCGGACCAAACAGAGUCCAAUUCGGGGACAACACUCCACCGACCUAAUACUUCAAGGAAAACCACACGAUCAAUGUCGGUUUGAUCCGACGGCCCAGAUUCACUUGAAGGGACUAUAAAACCAGACCCCCCUAGCCCCUGGAGAUCAUACCUCUUCUACAGAAUCAAAGCUAGGGUUUCAAUUCUUCAUCCAAGUAGAGAGGAUCCCUCUAGUUCUUCUAGUUGUACCUCUAGUUCAUCUAGAUCUAGUUCUAGUUCAUCUAGUUCUAGUUCUAGUUCCUCUAGUUCUAGUUCUAGUUAGUUCUAGUUGUAAUCUAGAAAAUAGGGAGAGAGAAGAGGAGAGUGGAGGAGGAGCCGGAUCUGUCAGAUCUUCCUCAAUAUUAUACUUUUGCAACAACUGGUUCGUUCUUCAUCGUUCUCCAGGUUCUUCAAUUCAUAAUUCCUGAGUUCUUUAAUUACUUUUAUUUACAUUCAAGUUAUUUAUUGGAUUCCCGCUUGCAUCAAGUGCUCUAGUCUUUAUAACGCUAGAGUAGUAAUUAAUAGAUUAGACGUGGUGUUUAGUCUUGCAAUUACCUGGAAUUGCAACCAAUCCUGCGGAUUGUUGUGGUAGCCUUAGGGUAGUGACAGCCCUAACGGUCGACGUAUUCCACCUCGUUCGGAUCGGUGUUUGUAGGACCGUAGUCAGACCUUCCUAGCCCCCUUCUCAUCUCUUUUUGUGGUUAGUGCUCUGAUGUCCCGAUAUAGAUAAUCUUGAAGUAAUUCUUGAUUCUUAGAUCAACUAGAGAACUCUCAGGAAACUUCCUCUCUUCCCACCAAAAAUAAUUAUAUAGUUAUCCUUGGGCGAUCUUGGAUCUUAAUUAGUACACUCACGUUCUCUGUGGAAAAUCGAUACUCUGGAAUACUCCCGGGUGAAAGCUACAUCGGUAUCCGUGCGCUUGCGGAUUUUUCUGUUUGCGUUUAAAAUACCCAACAAUGAUCUCUAACAACAUGGUAUUCAAAUGUUUUUUCAUUCUAAGUAAUUUAGUUUGUCAUUCGACCAAGUUUGACCGAAACUCAUCUUGGAUUUUAAACACAGGUGCCUAGGAUUGGCUAAAAUUUAUCCAAAUGGAAAAAUGGACAAUGUAUCAAAUGUAGAUCUUGAUGAUCUCUAACAACUUUGUAUUAAAAAUUGUUUCAUUUGAAGUCAUCAAAUGGGUCAUUUGACCUAGUUUGAAGCACUCAAUUUAGAAUUUUGAAAGAAUUCAUAGCCACGCACCGGUUUUUCGAACCCAAGAGGGUCUCGACUGAAAAAGUCAUGAAUACCAAUUUUGCUCCACUCAUCAAGAUCUACAUUUAAUAUAUAGACCAUUUUUGCAUUUGACAAAGUGUUGGGAAGGUGUAGUUGAAAAUCUACAAUUCCACAUAUAGUUUCAUAUAGUUUAUGUGAGAUUCAGGAUUUGGUGAUUAUUGUUUUCUUAAACUUUCUCAAAUGCAAAAAUGGUCUAUAUAAAAAGUUUGGAUCUUGAUGAUCUCUAACAACUUGGUUUUCAAAUGUUUUUCAUUUUAAGUGAUUUAGUUUGUCAUUUGAACAAGUUUGACCAAAACCCGUCUUGGAUUUUAAACACAUGUGCCUAGGAUUGACUAAAAUUUAUCCAAAUGGAAAAAUGGACAAUGUAUCAAAUGUAGAUCUUGAUGAGCGCUAACAACUUUGUGUACAAAACUGUUUCAUUUGAAGUCAUCAAAUGGGUCAUUUGACCAAGUUUGAAGCACUCAAUUUUGAAUUUUUAAAGAAUUCAUAGCCACGCACCGGUUACCAUAACCCUAGAUGGCCUCAACUGGAAAAGUCAUGAAUACCAAUAUUGUUCCACUCAUCAAGAUCUACAUUUAAUAUACAGACCAUUUUUGCAUUUGACAAAGGGUUGGGAAGGUAUAGUUGAAAAUCCACAAUUCUCACAUAUAGUUUCAUAUAGUUUAUGUGAGAUUCGAGACUUGGUGAGUAUUGUUUUCUUAAAAUUUCUCAAAUGGAAAAAUGGUCUAUAUAAAAAGUUUGGAUCUUGAUUAUCUCUAACCACUUGGUAUUCAAAUGUUUUUCAUUUGAAAUAAUUUAGUUUGUCAUUUCACCAAGUUUGACCAAAACCCAUCUUGGAUUUUAAACACAUGUGCCUAGGAUUGGCUAAAAUUUAUCCAAAUGGAAAAAUGGACAAUGUAUCAAAUGUUGAUCUUGAUGAUCUCUAACAACUUUGUGUUCAAAAUUGUUUCAUUUUAAGUCAUCAAAUGGGUCAUGUGACCAUGUUUGAAGCACUCAAUUUUGAAUUUUGAAAGAAUUCAUAGCCACACACCGGUUUUUGGAACCCUAGAGGGUCUCGACUUGAAAAGUCAUGAAAACUAAUAUUGUUCCACUCAUCAAGAUCUACAUUUAAUAUACAGACCAUUCUUGCAUUUGACAAAGUGUUAGGAAGCUGUAGUUGAAAAUCCACAAUUCUCACAUAUAGUUUCACAUAGUUUAUGUGAGAUUUAAGAUUUGGUGAGUAUUGUUUUCUUUAACUUUCUCAAAAGGAAAAAUGGUCUAUAUUAAAAGUUUGGAUCUUGAUGAUCUCUACUUGGUAUUCAAAUGUUUUUCAUUUUAAGUAAUUUAGUUUGUCAUUUGACCAAGUUUUACCAAAACCCGUCUUGACUUUAAACACAUGUGCCUAGGAUUGGCUAAAAUUUAUCCAAAUGGAAAAAUGGACAAUGUUUCAAAUGUAGAUCAUGAUGACAUCUAAAAACUUUAUAUUCAAAAUUGUUUCAUUUGAAGUCAUCAAAUUGGUCAUGUGACCAAGUUUGAAGCACUCAAUUUUGAAUUUUGAAAGAAUUUAUAGCCACGCACCGGUUUUCAGAACGCUAGAGUGUCUCGACUUGAAAAGUCGUGAAUACCAAUACUGUUCCACUCAUCAAUAUCUACAUUUAAUAUAUAGACCAUUUUUGCAUUUUGUUGGUGCAAAAGUAGAUCUGCAAACACAGAGGGCUAAUACCCGAUUCAACGUUAAGGCGUGCCAGCCGAUUUGACCUACAAUCGACAAAGGUAGUAACUCGAAUACUUUGGUCCCGACAACAGCGAUGCGCCCGGAUGUUGUGGCCAAGAGGUAUUCAUGCGGAACUUGAGAAUUCGCCGAGGUUGACUCGAAGAAUUCCAAAGAACUCGUAGUAAAAGGAAAAUAUGCAAGUUGACGAAGUCGUCGAAAAAGUAGAUGUUGGAAUAGAUGUAAAAACUUGUGUUGGAUUGAUUGUGUAUAUUCAUUACAUCGCCAAGGGGCUUAUAUUUAUACCCUGUUCAAAAGCGUUACAACCAGACACAACUAGGUCUCCAAUUCCAAAUUGAACGAAAUCCGUAUACAAAACAAACUCUAAUAACUAUGGAAAACAUUAAAUUAUGUCCCACAACCGAUCGGUACACCACCACGACUCGAUCGACAAUUCAUGCGCCUCUCCUUGUGACCAUCGGCGAAUCACCUUCUGUCGGCAUCGGCAAUCAUCUACAUCGGCAUAGAUCAAUCACCACCCAUGGACUUGGCUGCAUCCUGCUGUUUCUCCAUCGGCACUAACCCCAUUGGCAACUCCUUUGAUAACCAGUCACCACUCUUUCAUCUACCGAUCUAUAUCUCAUUGACUCCUAGAUACACGUCCAAAGACACGUGUCUAAAAACGGUGUCAACACAUGCCCCCCAAAUUCGGAGUAUAAAAUCAUUAAUGCUCCGAAAUUCUCCUCAGUAAUGAUGCUUUUCCGCAAUUACUCCUUUCUGUCAGUAAUUAAUUACCAAAUCAAAACAACCUUAGUCUGGUUCUCCAACAUGCUCCUCGAAUCUCUCAACUUCUCGAACCGAAUCUCCCAAACAUACGUUCAUCGGCAACAUUUCUGUUAGAGAAGACUGCCGAUGAACCGACCAGGAGAUCUUGCACAGUAAGAUAUCUCCAAAAUCAUGACCGCUUGCUGUCAAAUCACCUACGUAAUGCUUUGAUUACUGUGUGAACAGUUACCAUAUCCACCUGAAGAGAUAAGUCAAAAUUGCCCCUGCCCUCUUUGUCCUAUAAAUACUUCCUUCUCCGGUACUCUUUCUCCAUCUUGUUGUUGACACUAGCUAACACCAAUUAGAUACUAGGUUGUCAUCCCCAGCAUGGUGCCAGAGUGUACAAAGGUAUUUAUAAAUAUGGAGGCUCUCUAGAAAAUAAUCUAUUCUAUCCGCAAGCGCACAGAUAAAACACCUCAUUGUAGCAUUUCACUAGGAUAAGUAUUCUAGGUAUCAUUAUUUAUAAUUUUGCUUAAGAGAACAAAAAGGAUGAAAUUAAAAUAAGGACAAAAUCUAUCAAGGCAUAGACUAGAGAUAAACUUGCAAGAACAUGAUUACUAAUGAGAAACUCAUCACACAGUCACUUACUUUGGAAAGGGGUAAACCAUAAAGAUAAUGAUAAUGAAUUAUAAGUUCAUGGGUAAAUAACACAGCGAUUAGAAAAUAGACUACUCCUCAUAUAUGUAGGUGACGUCUGAUUAGCUAGAGAAUGGAUUCAAAGUUAUCUACUAUCUACUAAGUCUCAAUCUACUCUAGUUAUCUACAAGAUCAUGUAUAGCAUAAAAGACUCUUCAUUCAUGUAUAAGGAACAUUGCUAAAGUAAAUCAGAACAUCGUAAGACUUACUCCGCAAUACAAAUUUUGCCUGUCCUAUCGACGGAGGGUGGACUAUAUAAGAAUCAACGAAGUUGUCACUAUCGCGAACGACCACACAACCCCGCCAAUAGGAUACAUUUGCAGGUAAAUAACAUCUAAGCACCAUGCCCACAUGUGAUCUACCACUUAACUCCCUCGAGUCAUAAGCUAAGCGCUUUGCAAACUUAUACAUAAACUCAUUAUCAAUCAUAACUAUACCAAAUAUAGAACUAGAGCAAACUAAGAGCAUAAUAAAUAGAGACAUAAUGUAAUUAGAACAAAUUAUUAGAGAAAGAUAUGAAUAAUACCAAUCUUUAUUACCAAAGAUCCGAAUCCAGAGCGUAGUGCUCUACUUCUCUAAUUGCUAUCUAAUCAAACCUCUAAACUGAAGGAUUAGGGAGUAGCUAAUUCUAAUUCUCUGUGGGAGAGAAGCUCUAAACCCUAACUUUGAUGGAUACCUCUGAUAAUGAUUUCUCCUCUUCUCUUCUCUCCCCCAGGGCUGGAGAGGCCUUGGUUAUAUAGUCCUUUCAAGUGAAUUUGGGUUGUCGAAUCAAACCGACAUUGAUCGCACGGUUUUCCUUGAUCCUUUAGGUCGGUGGAGCACGAUCCAAGAGUUUGGUUCGGAUUGGCCCCCAGACCUGGGCGGGCGCCCAAGGGGGGAGGGCGGGCGCCCUGCCCCCGAGCCCAUCCGGUCUCUCGUUCGUUCCCGUGGCUUCUGGACUCUUCUAGAUUGAGGAAAAUUGCGCGGCACGUAAUUAUCUCGUUGUAAACAUGACAUGUGGGCCUUCUCUCCAUAUUUUCUGAUAUCCCCCUGCAGAAAUAGAUAAACACCAAAGCUCGUGGAAUUCUGUCAGAUAAAACCCUAAUUCUAGAUGUUUGGUGCAUAUUGAUCCUUUUCCAUGUUUAUUUGAUGGUUAAUUUUAGUACUUAAGGACCGUCAACACUUGUCAUUCUACAUCCUCAAACUCACCUUCCUGGCGGUGGCACUGUUUGAGAAACUCAAGGACUCCGGCAAGGAUCUCCUCCAACAAUCUUCCGAGUCUUCGAUCCCUUCCUCCUCCCGGGAAGAAAUGGCCAUCAACUUCGUCGUCCCUGAGGUCAACUCAGCAUCCCCUUUCUUCUUUUCACCAUAUUGUUGAUCUUUCACACAAUUAUUUACUUGGUAUUUUCUUUCUUUCUCUUCCCUAUCUUUUCAACCUUCAAACCUUUAGGAAUUGGCCGAGAAAAUUGCUAUUCCCACCGAUCAACCCCACUUUCAAUGCCUUGGUCCAUUGGGAAACCCAGAUCCUACCGAUUUGAUAAAUGUAGAAACAAAUAGGAUCCCCUUUAGAGCUGAGAACUUCUCAUUAGAUCUGUGGAAAGACACCUUUCGAUCCUAGCCUAGUUCUACUAAGGGGUGGAAAGACUGGUUCCUGAGAAUCGGCAACUCAAAUGAAGUCCAAUGGGGUGAGUGUUGACGGUCCUUAAGUAUCAAAUUUAAUUAUCAAAUAAACAAAGAAAAGGAUCCAAAUGAAAUCAACAUCUAGACUUAGGGUUUUAUCUGACAGAAUUCCACGAGUUUUUGUGUUUGUCUAUUUCUGCAGGGGGUUAUCAGGAAAUAUGGAAGAAAGGCCCACACGUCAGGAUUACAUAGAGAUAUUAAUGUGUUGCGCAAUUAUCUUACAUCUAGAAGACUCCAGAAGCCACGGGAAGGAAGCGGAGGCCUAACGGGGCAAGGUACUGGGCGCCCGCCCAGUUGCCCUGGGCGCCCGCCCUCCUGCCGAGCCCAAUCAGGACUCUGUUUCGGGGAAGAUCUCCACCGACCAAAAGGAUCAAGGAUAACCGUUCAAUCUAUGUCGGUUUGAUCCAACGGCCCAUAUUCACUUGAAUGUACUAUAAAACCAGACCCCCUGGCCCCUGGAGGAGAGAGCCUCUCAACCAUAAUUCAUUAUUCUCAAGGGAGAAGAAGCCUCUGAUCAAGAUUAGAGCCACCACAUCAAUUAGACAUCUAGAUUAGCAUAGCUACAUAGGAUUAGAACUAGAAGGAGUCAAUCUUCGAUUGGUUUCCGGAUCUGUCAAGAGGACUCUUGGUAAUUCUCUAAUUGUGCUUCUAAUUGUUCUUCUAAUUAUCUUUGUUCUUCAAUAUUAUGAAUAUGACUUUGUUCUACUUCAAUAUAUUGCUUAUGACUUUGCUCUACUUGCUUAUAUUCAAGAUUAUAUUGUUCUUAGUUUAUCAUAGUUAUGUACUUGGCUUAGUUAGAUUGGAUAUAUAUACAUGCUUAGGAUCAUAUAGCGUUUAUCCAUCGGAUCCAUGGGUAAAUGAUAGAUAUUGUGUAGGCGUGGUGCUUAUACCAUAUUUUAUCUGCGAUUGUACCCAAUAUGCCAGAUCGUGGGGUAGUUCGUGAUAGUGACAGCUUCAUUGAUUCUUAUAUAGUCCCCCUCUCGUGUAUUGGGCUGGCAGAGCAAUAUUAUUACAUGGGAGUGAUUGCUAUGUUUCUCAUUUACCUUGCUAAUAUCACUAUGCAAAGGCGUAGUAUUGUCUCGCAAUGAUUGCUAAGUAUGCUUGCACUAACUAUGAUAAUGCUAGACUAUAUAGUUGAGAAUAACUUAGGAAAUAUUCUUGUAGUUCGUUCUAAUUCCAUGCUAAUGACUUUCUAGAGUAUCUAAUUGAGGUGCUUAUCAUAUUUAUAUGUGGCUAAGUUAUGAUCAGAUUAAUUAUCUUUGUCACUAUCAUUAUUUCAUAUAUCCUUUAUGUGACACUUACCCCUGUAUGAAAGAGUUAGAUACAAUGUUCUCAAUUAUACAUGCAAUGAUAGAUACUCAAUCUCAUAUUAUAUUCUGUAAUCAAUAUUGAUGAUUGUUAAUCCCUUCCCAGUGGUAAAAAUAUAAAUAACGAUACUUGGAAUACUUCCCGGUUAAAAUGCUACAUCGGUAUUAAUCUGUGCGCUUGCAGAUCCCAUUCAUUAUUUAUUUAGAAGAGCAAUUGCAUAUUUCAAUACCACGUCUCUCAUGUCACGCUGGGGAUGACAACUUGGCUUAAGUGGUAUGAGGGAUAGGUUUGGCAUUUUUGGCACCGUUACUAGAAUUAGAAAACUAAGUCUACUUUUGGUAAUGAUGUUAAGAAUACAUAACAAGCAUUUUUGGCGCCGUUGCCAGGGAAGGUUGAUUACUAAUCAGGAAUGAAUAAAGGAUUUUGAGUUAUCAUUCGCAUCACUAAUAUGAUUGAGCUUAUCUAUUCUCUUAUACACUUUUACCCCAAUAUUUUCUAUUUUAACUUAUGCAGGGGAAUGUAUGAAUAGAAGACAUCUUCUAGGAAAUUUUGUUGACAAUCCCGAAGCAUUAUUCAGAAAGACAAGAGCCAAGCUCAAGAAGAGAUCAUCAACACUUCAGCAAGAAGCUUCAUCCAAUCAAGAAGAUCACCGGAACUUGUCUUCAGAGUUCGAAGCCAUGGCGAACAAAUCAAUCUGCGAGUUCUCAGCUCCCACUAUGGACAAUAUCCACACUGGACCUACUGCAGAGAUCGAUGACAACUUUGAGCUCAAGCCUGGACUUAUCAACAUGGUGCAAUCCAACCAGUUCUGUGGGAAGGCACACGAAGAUGCUAGUGCUCAUCUCCAACACUUCCUGGAGAUUUGCAGCACAUUUACCAUAUCAGGAGUUUCCAGAGAUGCUAUACUACUUCGCCUCUUCCUAUUCUCACUAUUAGGGAGAGCGAAGCAGUGGUUCUACGCUACAAAGGAGAAGAAUACUACGUGGGCACUCUGCUCAACAAACUUCCUGGCUAAGUUCUUUCCCAUGGGCAAGACCAAUGCUCUCCGUGGGAAGAUUACAAGUUUUCAGCAACAAAAUAAUGAAUCUGUUCCAGAAGCAUGGGAGCGCUUCCAAGACUACAUCCUAGAAUGUCCCCAUCAUGGAAUGGAGAGUUGGCUAUUGAUGCAGACGUUCUAUCAUGGGCUCGGCAACAGUGCCCGAGAAACCAUGGAUGCUGCAGCUGGAGGAGCAUUCUUAUCACUUACCAUACCAUAAGCCACAGCUCUUGUGGAGAAGAUGGCGUCCAACCAAGGCUGGAAUGAAGAGAGGACCCAGACACGCAAGAGAGGUGGAGGUAUGCAUCAGCUCAAGGAGGUAGACAUGCUGUCUGCAAAGCUAGACCUGCUCAUGAAGAAGCUCGAUGAUAGAGUUGGAGAUAAGAAGGAAGUUAUGCACAUCUACGACUCUCACAUGACUUGUGAGGAGUGUGGAGAUACUGGACACUCAGGCAAUCACUGCCCUGAGAUGCUUGAGGAUGUGAACUACAUCAACAAUAACAACAACAACUACUACAACCGUCCUCAACAAAAUCAAGGUUGGAAUCAACAGAGGCCUAACUACUCAGGUAAUUAUCAAGGUAACAAUUCUUACAACAAUAAUAAUAAUUUUCCACCUCUGAGAGAGUUAGUGCCUAAUCAAGGAAAGCUAAUGGAUAACCUAUCUAAGAAAUUGGCAUCUAAUGAUAAAAUGCUAGAAAAUAUAAAUAAUAGAAUGGAUAAUUUCUCUACUACCAUGAAGAAUCAAAUUAGCUUUAAUAAAAUGAUUGAAUCUCAAUUAAAUCAAAUAGCUACUGCUGUUCCUGCUACUAACCCCGGUAUACCAUCACAGCCGGAAGGAUUAGAAUCUGCAAAUCUUGUAGACAUGUUUGAUGCAGGUAAUUGGAGUAACCCCAUCACUGAAUUCACUACUGACCUUCUACCGAUCAAGAGAGGUGAUCCAGGACACCCCGUCAUCCCGAUCACCAUCGGCAUGGUGGACGUCCCAGAAGCACUCUGCGACUUUGGCUCCAGUGUCAACAUUAUGCCCAGGGUACUCUAUGAAAAAUUCUUUACAUAUCCUUUAUUAGAGACAACCAUGUGUUUGUAGUUUGCAGAUCAGGCAUUAAGUUUUCCAAAAGGAAUAUUGAAGAACCUUUGUGUCCGAGUUGGUACCUUUUACGCCCUAGCAGACUUCGUGGUGAUAGAGACCGGUAAUGAUGAGAGAGCACCUAUCAUCCUAGGGAGGCCAUUCUUGAACACCUCGGGAGCUGUCAUCUACGCUAGUGCUGCCAAGAUCAGUUUCUACAUCAAAAGGAGGAAGGAGACAUUUUUCUUCAGGAACAAGACUACACAAAUCUCAGAUCAAUCCAGACAUAAAUCAAGGAAGAGGACCAACAGGAGGAACAGUAACAAGCAAGUGUGGACCGAGUCAGCUAAGAUGGUCACUGCAGUUCAUGGAGGCCAAGAUCAUCAACUUAAGUCACCAUUUUUGACCAAGAAGGACGACCCAGGAAUGCCAAGCAUCUAUUGCUCCAUAAAUGGAAACAACUUCUACAAGACGACUUGCGACACCGGAUCGGGCGUCAACAUAAUGGCUGCAGUCGCCUAUCGGCUCUUGUUCGGAACCAUGCCCCCAAAACCAACAUACAUUCAGCUCCAGAUGGCAGAUCAGACAUUUCGAGAAGUUAAAGGAACAGUAACUGAUGUCCCAGUCAAAAUAGACGAUCAUUUUGUCUACACAGAGUUUCAGGUUAUUGACAUGGGAGAAGAUGAGUACGAUCCACCCAUCAUCCUUGGAAGACCGUUCCUCAGCACCGUUAAAGCAAUUAUCUACAUUGGAACUGGAGAAGUCCAUAUGCACUUCCCCUCAGAGAAGGUACGCCGCUAUUUUACUAACCCUAAUUAUAUCUUUGAAGAAUCUAAGCAGGUAAGAAAACGACGCAACCGCAACCAAAGGAGGCAGAUCAUCAAGGACGGAUGGGCAGACUAUGAAGGAGAAGUUGUAAGGUCAGAAGACGUAGAAUUUAAACAGAAUUAUCCAGAGGAGACCGAAGCACCGAGUCAGGUAUGGAAAGAGAAGAUAACUAUACAUGAAGAGGAGGUGCCCCGGAAGUACCGACUCCACCACCCAACGAAUCCCAGGACAAUUGAGAAAGAGGAGAGUCCCGUUCGGAGGACUUAAAAAUACCGAACGCCUUGACAAGAGGUAAACUUGGUAGUUAUCUUUUUCCCUUUCAAUUAUUUAAAUAGUUUGCUUAGUUAAUCAUGUUUAUACCAUCCUAAAAAAAGAAAAUAAAAUUGUGAAAAACAGUAAGCCCCAUGUGAGUAUACGAGUGGCAUAAAACCCUAAGUACAUUCACUGUAGUGGCAUAAAAAUAAAAUAAAAAUUUCUUUUCUGCUUUAUAAAAUGAAAAUAUAAAAAUAGGGAGUAAUAUUUAUUAAGGAGACUCAACAUGAUAAAGGCUAGAUAUUUAUGCUAACACUUAAUCAAUUCCACAAGCUUUGUUGUCUAUUUGAGCUCCACAGAAUUUAAGAAUCAAGAAGACUAGCAGACGGAGGACAUUCUAAUCGCUGUCAGAAUGCUACUGACUUUCAAAUACACCUCUGCCACCUGCUAGCUACAUCAAGAGAAAUUACGACAAAAUUCUGCUUGGGGGAGAGCACCCCCAUUUAUCCCGAUAAGUAUUUCUAUCUAUCUUUAUACUUAUACUAUAUUAAAAUAUAGAUAUACAUAACUAUGGAAAACCAAAUAAAGAUUUUAUGCUUAUAUAUAUAUCUUUUGCUUAGUGUGUUUAAUAAAUAAAUAAAGAGGCUAUGCUAAUCUGUAUCUGAAUAAAACUCUAGCAUGGAUAUGAUGAAUAGUUGCUCUGCCUAAUUUGCACAUUUUAAGUUCUCUCUCAAGUUUAGACAUAACUGUUAUAAUUUAAAGCUUGCUCUAGACCUAAACUUGUGGGAUGAAAACUUGAUCUGAAGUCUAAGUUGUUAACGGAUAUGAUAUGGGAAGGUUGAGCUGCUGUUUAUCUGUUCGUAGAGAUGCUAGAAUUCUGGAGAAAUUUAUCUUUUAAAAUCUUUAAAAUGUUGCAUGAUGAGUUCCUGUAUGAUGAGAGUGCUUGCUUGCUAGACUUUGAGUUCCUGUUGAAAUUCCUACCAUAGCCAUAUAUACAUGCUUGCUUGAGCCACACAUUUACUAUUUACUACUUAUGAGCAUUGAGUGUGGUCAAGCUGUGUAGACCCUUAGGAGCUUGUCAUGUGGUUAAAUCAAGAUUCACUUGCACGUUCACUCAUAUAUGCUACUUCUACUCCGGAAGUACCAUCCACAUAUAUCCACUCAUUCCAUCUCGAGAACCACCCAAAAAUAUUCUACUCCUAAUCCAGGAGAGAAUGACCAAAAAUAUUUCUAUUUUUCCCUUGUGAAAUAAAUGCUCCCGUUAUCUUGUUACUACCACUUGUUAUAUUAUCUCAAGAGAUGAGUGCUCUAAAAAAAGAAGAUGAAAAAAAGAUACGAGGAAAUAAAAAGGGGCAAGUGCCCGGAACCUCGAAAGAAAAGAAAAAGUGAGACGAGAGGUAAAAAUGGACAAGUGUGCGACAGUAGAAUUAGGGGUACAAGAUACCCACCUGAGAGAAAAGAAAAAUAUAGAGCAUCUCAUUCUCCUCAUAAGGUUUCAAAAAGCAAGGAAGGUAUGUAUCCUCUCAAAAGAGCAAAAGUAGAAUUAGACUUCCACUAUUGUUAUCACCAUCAUCACCAUACACCAUUCAUUCGCCACACAUGCACAUCUUGAUUUGACUUAUUGAUUUGUUUCUUUGGAUCCAUGGUUUGACUAUACAAUAAAUGUCUUGUAAGUAUGUAUACUUUAUCUCCCACCUAUGAGCUCCAGAUAUUAAAGCCUUAUUAGAGUGGGGUGAGAGAGAAGGCAAUGUCACUAUACCUUAUACCACAAAUACUACAUACUUUUUAAGAGAAGGCAUAUACCAUCACUGCCUUGGUAAGGAUCCAGAAAUACCACAAAAGAGAGAUAUAAGAGAGUCAUACAAGGAAUCUCUAAGUUUUAUUUGAAAAUUGUCGAGGGUAUCAGUAAGGGGUACCCUCAGCGAUGCGCAUUAUGAGAUUGCCCGUACGCAGGUCGAGACCCUCAAUUCGACGCUCUAAUCUUACGUAUGUGCCGCCAUCGACGGCCGCAGCCUCGAAGACGGAAAUAGCGUCGAGCGAAUCGAUCAGGCGUCGAGCGCCGGUUACCGUCGAAUACGGAACAGGCUCAUGCGAACCGGGGGGCGUCGAGCGCGAGGACGCCAUCCGCCGCCUGACGCGCGCACGCGGGCCGGAGCAUUAAAUGCGCCUGAUGCUUCCCCACCUAACGC